GUGGGGAAUAUUGGACAAUGGGCGAAAGCCUGAUCCAGCCAUGCCGCGUGUGUGAAGAAGGUCUUCGGAUUGUAAAGCACUUUAAGUUGGGAGGAAGGGUAGUAACCUAAUACGUUGCUACUUUGACGUUACCGACAGAAUAAGCACCGGCUAACUUCGUGCCAGCAGCCGCGGUAAUACGAAGGGUGCAAGCGUUAAUCGGAAUUACUGGGCGUAAAGCGCGCGUAGGUGGUUUUGUAAGAUGGAGGUGAAAUCCCCGGGCUCAACCUGGGAACUGCCUCCAAAACUGCAUGACUAGAGUACGGUAGAGGGUAGUGGAAUUUCCUGUGUAGCGGUGAAAUGCGUAGAUAUAGGAAGGAACACCAGUGGCGAAGGCGACUACCUGGACUGAUACUGACACUGAGGUGCGAAAGCGUGGGGAGCAAACAGGAUUAGAAACCCGGGUAGUCC
rnacentral:rRNA from 1 species